GACGAACGCUGGCGGCGUGCUUAACACAUGCAAGUCGAACGGUGAAGGGACCGGUUUUUGCUGGUUCUGGAUGAGUGGCGAACGGGUGAGUAACACGUGAGUAACCUGCCCCCUUCUUCUGGAUAACCGCAUGAAAGUGUGGCUAAUACGGGAUAUUCUGCGCCUGCUGCAUGGUGGGUGUGGGAAAGAUAUUGUUUCGGUGGGGGAUGGGCUCGCGGCCUAUCAGCUUGUUGGUGGGGUGAUGGCCUACCAAGGCGGUGACGGGUAGCCGGCCUGAGAGGGUGGACGGUCACACUGGGACUGAGACACGGCCCAGACUCCUACGGGAGGCAGCAGUGGGGAAUAGUGCACAAUGGGCGCAAGCCUGAUGCAGCGACGCCGCGUGAGGGAUGGAGGCCUGCGGGUUGUAAACCUCUUUCGCCAGUGAAGCAGGCCUGUCCCUUGUGUGGGUGGGUUGACGGUAGCUGGAGAAGAAGCGCCGGCUAACUACGUG
rnacentral:rRNA from 1 species